rnacentral:rRNA from 1 species
UACGUAGGGGGCAAGCGUUGUCCGGAUUUAUUGGGCGUAAAGAGCGUGUAGGCGGCCAGACAGGUCCGUUGUGAAAACUCGAGGCUCAACCUCGAGACGCCGAUGGAAACCGUCUGGCUAGAGUCCGGAAGAGGAGAGUGGAAUUCCUGGUGUAGCGGUGAAAUGCGCAGAUAUCAGGAAGAACACCCGUGGCUAAGGCGGCUCUCUGGGACGGUACUGACGCUGAGACGCGAAAGCGUGGGGAGCGAACAGGG